GAUGAACGCUAGCGGCAGGCCUAACACAUGCAAGUCGAACGGUGUCUUCGGACAUAGUGGCGCACGGGUGCGUAACACGUAUGCAACCUACCUUACAUUGGGGGAUAGCCUUUCGAAAGGGAGAUUAAUACCGCAUAAGACAGUAGCUGGGCAUCCAGCAGCUGUUAAAGAUUUAUCGAUGUAAGCUGGGCAUGCGUCCAAUUAGCUAGUUGGUGAGGUAACGGCUCACCAAGGCAAUGAUUGGUAGGGGAACUGAGAGGUCAAUCCCCCACACUGGCACUGAGAUACGGGCCAGACUCCUAUGGGAGGCAGCAGUAGGGAAUACUGGGCAAUGGACGCAAGUCUGACCCAGCCAUGCCGCGUGCAGGAUGAAGGCGUUAUGCGUUGUAAACUGCUUUUAUACAGGAAGAAACGACUCUUGCGAGAGGCAUUGACGGUACUGUAUGAAUAAGCACCGGCUAACUCCGUGCCAGCCGCCGCCGUAAGAC
rnacentral:rRNA from 1 species